ACGGCCGCAAGGUUAAAACUCAAAUGAAUUGACGGGGGCCCGCACAAGCGGUGGAGCAUGUGGUUUAAUUCGAUGCAACGCGAAGAACCUUACCUACUCUUGACAUCCAGAGAACUUUCCAGAGAUGGAUUGGUGCCUUCGGGAACUCUGAGACAGGUGCUGCAUGGCUGUCGUCAGCUCGUGUUGUGAAAUGUUGGGUUAAGUCCCGCAACGAGCGCAACCCUUAUCCUUUGUUGCCAGCGGUUAGGCCGGGAAC
rnacentral:rRNA from 1 species